AGCAUUGCAAGCCCUGUGAAUACAGCUGAAGCUGUAUUAUGAACCUGUUUAGGAAGGGACAAGAAAGGACUACAGGGAAUACUGAUGCUAUGGGAAAUGCUGUAGCAGACGUUCACAUGGUAAACAGGAAAGAUUUUAUUCACAUUCUUUCAACUGGAACAUGUACCAAGAGACAAUCUUUGUCAUCAUUUUCAGUCAAGUCAGCCAAUAUAAAAUGUACCAUGGGAAAACUGGAGUGGAACAGUAUUCCUAUUGCAGAUGGGAAGGCUUUUUGUCAGGGACUCAUGA